ensembl:lncRNA
AAGCUGACCAGGCUCACAUGUAGAACCAUUUGCCAUGUUAAAAGCUGACCACUCACAUGAACCAUUUGCCAGGUUAAAAGCUGACCACUCACAUGAACCAUUUGCCAGGUUAAAAGCUGACCACUCACACGAACCAUUUGCCAGGUUAAAAGCUGACCACUCACACAAAGAACCAUUUGCCAGGUUAAAAGCUGACCACUCACACAAACAACCAUUUGCCAGGUUAAAAUCUGACCACUCACACAAACCAUUUGCCAGGUUAAAAUCUGACCACUCACACAAAGAACCAUUUGCCAGGUUAAAAGCUGACCACUCACACACCAUUUGCCAGGUUAAAAGCUGACCACUCACACACCAUUUGCCAGGUUAAAAGCUGACCACUCACACAAAGAACCAUUUGCCAGGUUAAAAGCUGACCACUCACACACCAUUUGCCAGUUUAAAAGCUGACCACUCACACAAAGAACCAUUU